rnacentral:rRNA from 1 species
GAUGAACGCUGGCGGCGUGCCUAAUACAUGCAAGUCGAGCGAACGGACGAGAAGCUUGCUUCUCUGAUGUUAGCGGCGGACGGGUGAGUAACACGUGGAUAACCUACCUAUAAGACUGGGAUAACUUCGGGAAACCGGAGCUAAUACCGGAUAAUAUUUUGAACCGCAUGGUUCAAAAGUAAAAGACGGUCUUGCUGUCACUUAUAGAUGGAUCCGCGCUGCAUUAGCUAGUUGGUAAGGUAACGGCUUACCAAGGCAACGAUGCAUAGCCGACCUGAGAGGGUCAUCGGCCACACUGGAACUGAGACACGGUCCAGACUCCUACGGGAGGCAGCAGUAGGGAAUCUUCCGCGAUGGGCGAAAGCCUGACGGUGCAACGCCGCGUGAGUGAUGAAGGUCUUCGGAUCGUAAAACUCUGUUAUUAGGGAAGAACAUAUGUGUAAGUAACUGUGCACAUCUUGACGGUACCUAAUCAGAAAGCCACGGCUAACUACGUG